GCUCCCCAAAAUCCUGGUACAAGGAGAAAUCUUUUUCAACUUUCUAUGCACAGUCAACUGCUACCUUAUGGUGAACACAGUCUAAAGAGACCGGAAGAG